rnacentral:rRNA from 1 species
GACGAACGCUGGCGGCGUGCCUAAUACAUGCAAGUCGAGCGGACCAAUUGAGAAGCUUGCUUUUUGAUUGGUUAGCGGCGGACGGGUGAGUAACACGUGGGUAACCUGCCCUAUAGACUGGGAUAACUCGCGGAAACGUGAGCUAAUACCGGAUAACACAUCAAAGUGCAUGCUUUGAUGUUGAAAGAUGGUUCUGCUAUCACUAUAGGAUGGGCCCGCGGCGCAUUAGCUAGUUGGUGGGGUAACGGCCUACCAAGGCGACGAUGCGUAGCCGACCUGAGAGGGUGAUCGGCCACACUGGGACUGAGACACGGCCCAGACUCCUACGGGAGGCAG